rnacentral:rRNA from 1 species
CUGGGCGCUGGCCUCUAUGGCUACAUUGAUGGCACCACUGCGGAGCCUCCCAAAAUCCUCACCACCAAAGACAAGGAUGGCAAGGAUCAGGUCAUCCCUAACCCUGCCUAUGCCCCCUGGCUUGUCCAGGAGCAACAGAUCAUUGCGUAUCUCCUGCGCAAUAUGUCCAAGGAGGUCCUCAUCCAAGUCGCCUCGCUUGAGUCCUCUCAUGCGAUUUGGACUGCCUUGGCCACCAUGUUCUCUGCCGUCUCGCUGUCCCGCGCCAACAACCUUCGUUCUGCGCUCACCAACGCCCAGAAGGGAUCCAUGUCAGCCUCCGCCUAUUUUGGCCACAUGCGC